AACCCCUGCAUUCAGUUGCCAACGGUAAGGCCGGGCACUCUGGAUGGACUGCCGGCGACAAGCCGGAGGAAGGUGGGGAUGACGUCAAGUCAUCAUCGGCCCUUAUGUCCAGGGCGACACACGUGCUACAAUGGCCGGCACAGCGGGAAGCGAGGGGCGACCUUGAGCGGAUCCCUCAAAGCCGGUCUCAGUUCGGAUUGCAGUCUGCAACUCGACUGCAUGAAGUUGGAAUCGCUAGUAAUCGUGGAUCAGCCAAGCCGCGGUGAAUACGUUCCCGGGCCUU
rnacentral:rRNA from 1 species